UACGGAGGGUGCAAGCGUUGUUCGGAUUCAUUGGGCGUAAAGCGAGUGUAGGCGGUUUGACAAGUCGGAUGUGAAAUCCCGGGGCCCAACCCCGGAACUGCACCCGAUACUGUCUGGCUAGAGUCCCGGAGAGGGUGGCGGAAUUCCCGGUGUAGGGGUGAAAUCCGUAGAGAUCGGGAGGAACACCAGUGGCGAAGGCGGCCACCUGGACGGUGACUGACGAUGAGACUCGAAAGAGUGGGUAGCAAACAGG
rnacentral:rRNA from 1 species